rnacentral:rRNA from 1 species
CUGUAGCCUGAUAUUGGGUUUCGGUGUUGCAUGCACAGGAUAGAUGGGACGCUGGGAAAGAAGCGCUUUGGCGUUUCUGGAGCGGACGUUGGGAUACCAUCCUUGCGACAUUGGAAUUCUAACCUGCGCCUCUGAAUCGAGGCGGGGGACAUUGUCAGGUGGGCAGUUUGACUGGGGCGGUCGCCUCCUAAAAAGUAGCGGAGGCGUUCAAAGGUUCGUUCGAUCUGGACGGAAACCAGAUGAUUGAGUGCAAACGCAUAAACGAGCCUGACUGCGAGACUGACGGGUCGAGCAGAGACGAAAGUCGGAGUUAGUGAUCCGGUGGUAUGUGAGUGGAAAUGCCAUCGCUCAACGGAUAAAAGUUACCCUGGGGAUAACAGGCUGAUCUCCCCCAAGAGUCCACAUCGACGGGGAGGUUUGGCACCUCGAUGUCGGCUCAUCGCAUCCUGGGGCUGUAGUAGGUCCCAAGGGUUGGGCUGUUCGCCCAUUAAAGCGGUACGCGAGCUGGGUUCAGAACGUCGUGAGACAGUUCGGUCCCUAUCUGUCGUGGGCGCAGGAUAUUUGAAAGGCGCUGUCCCUAGUACGAGAGGACCGGGAUGGACGAACCUCUGGUGCACCAGUUGUCACGCCAGUGGCACAGCUGGGCAGCUAUGUUCGGAUCGGAUAAACGCUGAAAGCAUCUAAGCGUGAAGCCGGCCUUAAGAUAAGAUAUCCCACUGAGUCAAUCAGGUAAGACCCCUUGAAGACUACAAGGUUGAUAGGCACACAGUGUAAGCGGAGUGAUCCGUUCAGCUAGCGUGUACUAAUAGGUCGAGGGCUUGACCCC